UACGAAGGGGGGCUAGCGUUGCUCGGAAUUACUGGGCGUAAAGGGCUCGUAGGCGGCCAACUAAGUCGGAUGUGAAAUCCCAGGCUUAACCUGGGAAUUGCAUCCGAUACUGGAUGGCUUGAAUCCGGGAGAGGGAUGGCGGAAUUCCAGGUGUAGCGGUGAAAUGCGUAGAUAUCUGGAGGAACACCGGUGGCGGAAGGCGGCGAUCCUGGGACCGGGCAUUGACGCCUGAGGCGCGAAAGCCAGGGGGAGCAAAACGGGG
rnacentral:rRNA from 1 species